rnacentral:miRNA from 3 species
UGAGAACUGAAUUCCAUGGACU